rnacentral:misc_RNA from 1 species
UCCAGCUUAUCGCUGGCGGUCUCCUGAGAGUGCUUCCUUUUAAGGGGAGUGGCAACACAGGACAAGGGUUGCGCUCGUUGCGGGACUUAACCCAACAUCUCACGACACGAGCUGACGACAGCCAUGCAGCACCUGUGUUCCCGUUCCCUUUCGGUCACAGCCCCCUCUCAGGGGCCUCCAGGACAUGUCAAGGGUAGGUAAGGUUUUUCGCGUUGCAUCGAAUUAAUCCACAUAAUCCACCGCUUGUGCGGGUCCCCGUCAAUUCCUUUGAGUUUUAACCUUGCGGCCGUACUCCCCAGGCGGAUCACUUAACGCGUUAGCUGCGGCACUGAAGGGGUCAAUUCCUCCAACACCUAGUGAUCAUCGUUUACAGCGUGGACUAC